rnacentral:rRNA from 1 species
CCAGACUCCUACGGGAGGCAGCAGUGGGGGAUAUUGCACAAUGGGGGGAACCCUGAUGCAGCGACGCCGCGUGGGUGAAGGGGUGUUUCGGCAUGUAAAGCCCUAUCGGCAGGGAAGAAGCAAGACGGUACCUGACUAAGAAGCCCCGGCUAACUACGUGCCAGCAGCCGCGGUAAUACGUAGGGGGCGAGCGUUAUCCGGAUUCACUGGGUGUAAAGGGAGCGUAGACGGCCAUGCAAGCCAGGGGUGAAAGCCCGGGGCCCAACCCCGGGACUGCCCUUGGAACUGCAUGGCUGGAGUGCGGGAGGGGCAGGCGGAAUUCCUGGUGUAGCGGUGAAAUGCGUAGAUAUCAGGAGGAACACCGGCGGCGAAGGCGGCCUGCUGGACCGCGACUGACGUUGAGGCUCGAAAGCGUGGGGAGCGAACAGGAUUAGAUACCCCUGUAGCU